rnacentral:piRNA from 1 species
UUAAGACGGAAGAACUACCUGGAG